rnacentral:rRNA from 1 species
UACGGAGGAGGCAAGCGUUAUCCGGAAUUAUUGGGCGUAAAGCGUCCGCAGGUGGCACUUCAAGUCUGUCGUCAAAGACUGGGGCUUAACCCUGGAAAGGCGGUGGAAACUGAAGCGCUAGAGUGCGGUAGGGGUAGAGGGAAUUCCCGGUGUAGCGGUGAAAUGCGUAGCGAUCGGGAAGAACAUCGGUGGCGAAAGCGCUCUACUGGACCGCAACUGACACUCAGGGACGAAAGCGUGGGGAGCAAACAGG